rnacentral:rRNA from 1 species
GUGGGGAAUAUUGGACAAUGGGCGAAAGCCUGAUCCAGCCAUGCCGCGUGUGUGAAGAAGGUCUUCGGAUUGUAAAGCACUUUAAGUUGGGAGGAAGGGCAGUAAGUUAAUACCUUGCUGUUUUGACGUUACCGACAGAAUAAGCACCGGCUAACUUCGUGCCAGCAGCCGCGGUAAUACGAAGGGUGCAAGCGUUAAUCGGAAUUACUGGGCGUAAAGCGCGCGUAGGUGGUUUUGUAAGUUGGAGGUGAAAUCCCCGGGCUCAACCUGGGAAAUGCCUCCAAAACUGCAUGACUAGAGUACGGUAGAGGGUAGUGGAAUUUCCUGUGUAGCGGUGAAAUGCGUAGAUAUAGGAAGGAACACCAGUGGCGAAGGCGACUACCUGGACUGAUACUGACACUGAGGUGCGAAAGCGUGGGGAGCAAACAGGAUUAGAAACCCGAGUAGUCC